GGGGAUUUAGCUCAGUGGUAGAGCGCUUGCCUAGCAAGCACAAGGUCCUGGGUUCGGUCCCCAGCUUCG
rfam:Rattus norvegicus chromosome 9, whole genome shotgun sequence.